UAAAGGAAGCCUGAACCUUAUCUCAAUCUUUUUGUUUUGUUGCUGAUUUAGAAAAGUGACUAUGACCAACCAACAUCUGUGAGUCACUUACUGGAACUGGCAUAUUGUUCCCCAUUCUGUUGUUCACUAUAAUGGGGUUUUUGUUUCCAGCAGGGCAGGUAUCUUGAAAGCAUGGCCCACAACAGUAGUCUAAGACUAUCCUGGCAAGACAGUGCAAGCUAUAUGCUCAGCUAUAACAAAGACUAAAAUGUGCCCUGGUUGCUCUUUAUUAUGUUUGAGGAUGUUAGGGGAUUGGAAGUUCUAGAGAAAGGAGAAGAUGGUAUCUUUUGGCUGGAAACCUAGGUUACAAUCCUAGUUAUCCCUAUACCACUUUACAGAUGAGGAAGUUAACCAAUGAAGGGUUAGUAAACUUGCCUAAGGUCACCCAAGUUGAAAGUGGCAGAGCAGGGACUUGAACAAAGACUGACUCCAAAGAUCCUUGCUGCCUAAAAUGUAAUCCAUGGACCAGCAACAUCACAGCACCUGGAGCUUGGUGGAAAUGUAGACUCUCAGGCUGUAUCCCAGACUUCCUGAAUCAAAACCUGCAUCUUAACGAGACCCCAGGUGAUUCAUAGGCAUGUUAAAGUGUGAGGAGGACUGCUCUCAACCACUCUGUUGACUCUGACUUGCUAACCAGCGGUGGCUUCCUUGGUUAGGUAAAUGCCCUAGAACUGCAGCUCCAGCAGCAAUUUGAGGACACCUGGAAUCAGACAGCUCACCAAUCUUAGGGGAAAUGCUUCUUUUUUUUUUUUGCCUUUAACAAAAAAAGGGAGUGUUGUUGAAGAGAAGGGAGGUUUUGUACUCUGCUCUUCCAAUGACAACUUUGGUCUAACACACAUGAUGUAACUCAAGCACAAGAUGGGCUCUGUGAGCAGCAUUCCCUCUUCUGCACAGCAGUCAAGAUAUAAGUGACGAAACUGCAGGCUGCCCUCCCACUGAAGGAAACAGGAGACAUUAUCGUGUGUGUAAAGAACUAAGAAAGGGUUCAAAAAAAGAAUCUGCUUUAUAUACUUACAUUUCUUUUCCUUUUUAAUCAAGAAUCAGUACAUAGCAACCUCAAGAUGCCUAUACACUGAUUCUGUGUGCUCCGACCCCAACCCAAACCUGCAGAUGGUCCCUGUAGUAAGUACUGCGAUGGAGUUUAAACACAGAAAAGAGGCAUAAUCUUUGAAGCAGAUGAAUCAAUGCAAGACAUUUCCCAAUGUGUAGAUGUCUUGAAUAAACCAUCUUUAAGAUCA